GCUCCUCGGGACAGUUCCCACACUGCAGUGCCUCUGGUGAGGAGACAGCGCCACUGAGCUCCCCACUUCCACAGAGCUUUCCCGCACAGAUCCACCUGCCGCUGAUACC
ensembl:lncRNA GLYCTK-AS1 GLYCTK antisense RNA 1